rnacentral:rRNA from 1 species
AGUACGUGAAACUGCUUAGAGGUUAAGCCCGAUGAAACUGAAUAUCCAUUAUGGAAAAUUCAACAUUAAUAUUAUAAUAUUUAUUUAUAAAUAUUAUAAAAAUGGUGUGCAAUUUUUCCAUAUAAGGACAUUGUAAUCUGUUAAUGUAAUAAAUAUUUAUCAUAAGAUUCAAUAAUAAAAAGUUUAUUCAAAUUAGUUAUUUUCGGAUUUCUAACAUAGAAUAAAUUUUAUUGAAUUUGAUAAAUCAUUGACAGAUUUAUUUAUAUAUAGUGCUUAAAUUCUUUAUUGAAUUUUACAAUAAUUUUUAAAUGUAUUUUCAUUUAUUAAUUUAUUGUAUGCAUUUAUAUGAUUAACAAUGCUAUAGAUUCAGUAUACCUUCGGGACCCGUCUUGAAACACGGACCAAGGAGUCUAACAUAUGUGCAAGUCAUUGGGUAUUUUUAAUAAAACCCAAAGGCAUAAUUAACUUAACUGUUUUCUAUGGGAUUAGUUUAUAUUUUAUUAUGAAAUAUUAAUUCAAUCCCGGGGCGUUCUAUAUAGUUAUGUAUAAUAAUAUUUAUAUUAUUUAUGCCUCUAACUAGAGCGUACCUUGAGCAUAUAUGCUGUGACCC